rnacentral:rRNA from 1 species
AGUGAACGCUGGCGGCAGGCCUAACACAUGCAAGUCGAACGGCAGCACAGGAGAGCUUGCUCUCUGGGUGGCGAGUGGCGGACGGGUGAGGAAUAUAUCGGAAUCUACCCUUUCGUGGGGGAUAACGUAGGGAAACUUACGCUAAUACCGCAUACGAACUGAGGUUGAAAGCGGCGGACCGCAAGGCGUCGCGCGGAUGGAUGAGCCGAUAUCCGAUUAGCUAGUUGGCGGGGUAAAGGCCCACCAAGGCGACGAUCGGUAGCUGGUUUGAGAGGAUGAUCAGCCACACUGGAACUGAGACACGGUCCAGACUCCUACGGGAGGCAGCAGUGGGGAAUAUUGGACAAUGGGCGCAAGCCUGAUCCAGCCAUGCCGCGUGUGUGAAGAAGGCCUUCGGGUUGUAAAGCGCUUUUGUUGGGAAAGAAAAGCGGUCGGUUAAUACCCGGUCGUUCUGACGGUACCCAAAGAAUAAGCACCGGCUAACUUCGUGCCAGCAGCCGCCGUAAUAC